GCAUGUCAUUUUCCACAUAAAAUGUUACUCUAGACACUGACCUUUGCUGAACCAUAUUAUGCUAAUUAAAAAAAAAAAAAAAUCUUGAUUGCUGGCAAGGUCAGGCACAGAAGCAGGCAGAGAACAAGGAAAGUGCUCCCAGGCUGUGCUGGGGAGCAUCACCUGAACUUCCCUGCAAUGCCAGGGCUGACCACCACAGCAGCUCCUGCUGAACACCUGCUCUCCACUGAGGUGCACCAGAUAAAGGACAUUAAAAUCUUGCUGUGGAUGUGGAGUGGUUUGGCUUGGUUGUCAUACAUAAUUUGUUUUGGUGUCUGCAGACAGAGCCUGUAGAUGGUGGCAGUUAAAAGGGAAAAAGCAUCUUGGAACAUGAGAGAGGGUCUAGCGGAGUCAACACCCACAAGAUGAUUCAGAUCCACCAUCAAGAACUGCUGUCCAAGAGAGCAGAGGCUGAGGCUGCAAACUGGCCCUAUAUGUCACCAGUGCCCUGGAUGCCACCAUUUGGAGUCCUCACCUUAAAGCUCUUCAGCCACCAGCCUGCACUUGGCAGGACCUCAGAAAGCAAAUGAAUAUGUGGCAAUGGUAACAAUGGUGAAAUAUACUGAGGUUUUGACAACCACUCCUUCAUUCAGUAUUAUACCCUCCUUCAGAAAGUACCUCAGAACAAAUUCACAUAUGUGUAUUUUUAAAUCAGUCAUUUUGUGGGAAUAAAAAGCAUUAAGAGACAAGUCAGAUUCAUAAAUGAAAAUGUAUUUCACCUUUAUACAUGCUAUACAGGUCAUGCAAAUACAGAAAUCUACAGGUUAUACAAUGACACCAUAAUAAAAUAUAAUAUGACAUUUGCCAAACACAGUGUAUUACAGCAAAACAAACUGUUUCUGUUUGUUUAUUAUUUAGGAAAUAGAUGAAGGACUAAUUUGGAAGACACAGUACCAUGCUACAGCUUACUGCACAGUCAAAAGAAAGUAUUUCUUUGAAGUACAUUAACAUAAAUAGAGCUGGGUUGUUGUAGGUAUGAUUUUUUUAGGCAUUGCACAUCAUGUCACUGGUUACUUUCCCACAGCUGACUUUUAAGAGCACAAGAAUGGUGCUACAACUGAGGUCAAUUUAUGCUGUGAACUCUUACACAUGGAAAAAAAAAAAGGAAAAAAAAGCCAAACACCCCCUCCCCCCCCAAGUUUUCACAUAUUUUGUGUUAGUGUCCAAAGAGAGUUGUAUUUAUAAUUUAUUCUUACAAGAGACUGGACAAAACGUCCUCAAAGCAGUACCUGACCUAGCAUAAAGGUUCACCAACAGAAAUAAAGUUAACACUGUACAGCACAUGACGUCCUGACCUUGUACAUCUCGGUGUGGACUGUUCCAUACAGAUGUUUACAGAACGUUAAGGGCGCCCAGUGCUCCUGGUGUGCAUUUUGGCCUUUGUUUCUGGUACUCACAUAUUGUUUUGCUGCUGACCAAAUCCCAUUUUGUUGAGCCUACAUGAAGACAAAAUACUUCUCUGUGUGAUAGAAAGCCUGCUGGUAUUAAUCAAGUGUCUGCAUAUUCAAAGGUUAAUGUGUCACCCUCCUGAUCACUCACUCGAAUCUACUACAGCUAUACUACACAUAUAUUAAGGGGUUAUACUUGGCAUUUGGCCUACUUUGA